rnacentral:rRNA from 1 species
UACGUAGGUGGCAAGCGUUGUUCGGAAUUAUUGGGCGUAAAGGGCGCGUAGGCGGUUUGCUAAGUCAGUUGUGAAAGCCCGGGGCUCAACCCCGGAGGGUCGGCUGAUACUGGUGGACUAGAGUACGGAAGAGGUAGCUGGAAUUCCCGGUGUAGCGGUGGAAUGCGUAGAGAUCCGGAAGAACACCGGUGGCGAAGGCGGCCUGCUGGGCAGUGGCUGACGCUGAGGCGCGACAGCGUGGGGAGCAAACAGG